AGGGUUUGAUUAUGGCUCAGAACGUACGCUGGCGGCACGCCUAACACAUGCAAGUCGAACGAAGUAGCAAUACUUAGUGGCGAACGGGUGAGUAUAAUGUGGGUAUCUGCCCAUUGGUUUGGAAUAACACGGGGAAACUUGUGCUAAUACCGGAUAAGCCUUCACAGGGAAAGCUUUAGCGCCGAUGGAUGAGCCCGCACUUGAUUAGCUAGUUGGUAAGGUAAUGGCUUACCAAGGCUACGAUCAAUAGCUGAUCUGAGAGGAUGAUCAGCCACAUUGGGACUGAGACACGGCCCAAACUCCUACGGGAGGCAGCAGUGGGGAAUCUUGCACAAUGGGGGAAACCCUGAUGCAGCGAUGCCGCGUGAGUGAAGAAGGCCUUUGGGUUGUAAAGCUCUUUCGUCGGGGAAGAAAAUGACUGUACCCGAAUAAGAAGGUCCGGCUAACUUCGUGCCAGCAGCCGCGGUAAUACGAAGGGACCUAGCGUAGUUCGGAAUUACUGGGCUUAAAGAGCUCGUAGGUGGUUAGAAAAGUUAGUGGUGAAAUCCCAAGGCUUAACCUUGGAACUGCCACUAAAACUUUUUAACUAGAGUAUGAUAGAGGUAAGCGGAAUUUCUAGUGUAGAGGUGAAAUUCGUAGAUAUUAGAAAGAACACCAAUUGCGAAGGCAGCUUUCUGGAUCAUUACUGACACUGAGGAGCGAAAGCAUGGGUAGCGAAGAGGAUUAGAUACCCUCGUAGUCCAUGCCGUAAACGAUGUGUGCUAGACGUUGGAAAUUUAUUUUUCAGUGUCGCAGCAAAAGCGUUAAGCACACCGCCUGGGGAGUACGACCGCAAGGUUAAAACUCAAAUGAAUUGACGGGGACCCGCACAAGUAGUGGAGCAUGUGGUUUAAUUCGAAGAUACGCGCAGAACCUUACCAACACUUGACAUGUUCGUCGCGACUCUAAGAAAUUAGAGUUUUCGGUUCGGCCGGACGAAACACAGGUGCUGCAUGGCUGUCGUCAGCUCGUGUCGUGAGAUGUUGGGUUAAGUCCCGCAACGAGCGCAACCCUUACUUUUAGUUGCUACCAUUUAGUUGGGCACUCUAAAAGAACUGCCAGUGAUAAGCUGGAGGAAGGUGGGGAUGACGUCAAGUCCUCAUGGCCCUUACGUGUUGGGCUACACACGUGCUACAAUGGUACUCACAAUGGGAAGCAAAGAGGCGACUCUAAGCAAAUCCCAAAAAGGUACCUCAGUUCGGAUUGUACUCUGCAACUCGAGUACAUGAAGCUGGAAUUACUAGUAAUCGUGGAUCAGCGCGCCACGGUGAAUACGUUCCCGGGUCUUGUACACACCGCCCGUCACACCAUGGAAGUUGGUUACACCUUAAGGCAAAGCAUAAAACCUUUGACUACGGUACGAUCAGCGACUGGGGUGAAGUCGUAACAAGGUAACC
rnacentral:rRNA from 1 species